AGUAACGCCUGCCCUGUGGAACCCUAAACGGCCGCGGCAUAAAACCGUGCAAAGGUAGCACAAUCACUUGUCCCUUAAAUGAGGACCCGUAUGAAAGGCAACAUGAGAGAGAACCUGUCUCCUAAGGUAAGCCAAUGAAAUUGAUCUGUCAGUACAAAAGCUGACAUAACAAAGCAAGACAAAAAGACCCUAUGGAACUUUAACAAAUUACUUACACAAAAUAAGCAAUAGUUUCAGUUGGGACAACUAUAGAAAAAAUAAACCUCUAAGAUUACCUUAGACUAACAAGUCUGAACAAUAAUAUAUGACCCAGUAAUACUGAUUAACGAAACAAGCUACCCUAGGGAUAACAGCGCCACCUUCUCAAAGAGUCCAUAUCARCAAGAAGAUCUACGACCUCGAUGUUGGAUCAGGGUACCAGACGGUGCAGCAGCCGUCAAUGGUUCGUUUGUUCAACGAUUAACACCCUACGUGAUCUGAGU
rnacentral:rRNA from 1 species